rnacentral:hammerhead_ribozyme from 1 species
AUCCAGCUGACGAGUUCUAAACAAGACAAAAUGCUCGUCAUGGAU